ensembl:snRNA U6 U6 spliceosomal RNA
GUACUUGCUUUGGCUGCACACAUACUAGAAGUGGAGUGAUACAGAAAAGAUGAGUGUGGCCCUGCACAAGGAUGACAUACAAAUUUGGGAAGUGUUCCAUAGUUAA